rnacentral:tRNA from 1 species
GCGCUCGUAGCCCAACGGCAGAGGCAGCGGCUUUAGGUGCCGCCCAGUGUGAGUUCGAAUCUCACCGAGCGCACCA